GCGCAAGGUCCGCGGCUGCAAAGUGUGAAUUACGCCGGGCUCGCGCCGGCGGCGGAGUGAAGUCAGGCUCCGGGGGAGGGGAGGAGCAGGACUCCGGCGGCGGCGGCGGCGGCGGCGGCGGCGGCCCGAGCUGGUCGCUGCUCCUGAGUCCCGCGCGCCCUGGGUCUGGCCGCUGGCUCCAGCUGUCUUUUCUUGCACUGCUUUGCUCCGUUCGUGCUGCGCUCGAACUCUGCAGUCCGGGCCGGUCCCCCAGCACGUCCUCAGCCGCCGAGGAGCCAUCAGCUUCAGCUCCAGCUCCGCUCUCUUCGGCUGCCCCAAUCCCCGGCAGCUCUCUCAGAGGCGUGGAGCUAUUUCCUAUGACAGUUCUGAUCAGACUGCAUUAUACAUUCGUAUGCUAGCAUGAAGGAAUGGCCACAGGACAGGUGACUAGUCAUUGUGGGAUGGAAUUAUAGUCGAUGAAGUGAGCCUUGGAGGAAGUCAUGGUCCUACUCAGAGAAACAGAGAGAUGUACGUGUAAGGAGCCGAGCAGGAUUUGAAUCAGAAAGAAGAGGUUCUCACCCAUAUAUUGAUUUUCGUAUUUUCCACUCUCAAUCUGAAAUUGAAGUGUCUGUCUCUGCAAGGAAUAUCAGAAGGCUACUAAGUUUCCAGCGAUAUCUUAGAUCUUCACGCUUUUUUCGUGGUACUG
rnacentral:lncRNA from 1 species